rnacentral:rRNA from 1 species
GAUGAACGCUGGCGGCGUGCCUAAUACAUGCAAGUCGAGCGAACGGACGAGAAGCUUGCUUCUCUGAUGUUAGCGGCGGACGGGUGAGUAACACGUGGAUAACCUACCUAUAAGACUGGGAUAACUUCGGGAAACCGGAGCUAAUACCGGAUAAUAUUUUGAACCGCAUGGUUCAAAAGUAAAAGACGGUCUUGCUGUCACUUAUAGAUGGAUCCGCGCUGCAUUAGCUAGUUGGUAAGGUAACGGCUUACCAAGGCAACGAUGCAUAGCCGACCUGAGAGGGUGAUCGGCCACACUGGAACUGAGACACGGUCCAGACUCCUACGGGAGGCAGCAGUAGGGAAUCUUCCGCAAUGGGCGAAAGCCUGACGGAGCAACGCCGCGUGAGUGAUGAAGGUCUUCGGAUCGUAAAACUCUGUUAUUAGGGAAGAAUAUAUGUGUAAGUAACUGUGCACAUCUUGACGGUACCUAAUCAGAAAGCCACGGCUAACUACGUGCCAGCAGCCGCGGUAAUACGUAGGUGGCAAGCGUUAUCCGGAAUUAUUGGGCGUAAAGCGCGCGUAGGCGGUUUUUUAAGUCUGAUGUGAAAGCCCACGGCUCAACCGUGGAGGGUCAUUGGAAACUGGAAAACUUGAGUGCAGAAGAGGAAAGUGGAAUUCCAUGUGUAGCGGUGAAAUGCGCAGAGAUAUGGAGGAACACCAGUGGCGAAGGCGACUUUCUGGUCUGUAACUGACGCUGAUGUGCGAAAGCGUGGGGAUCAAACAGGAUUAGAUACCCUGGUAGUCCACGCCGUAAACGAUGAGUGCUAAGUGUUAGGGGGUUUCCGCCCCUUAGUGCUGCAGCUAACGCAUUAAGCACUCCGCCUGGGGAGUACGACCGCAAGGUUGAAACUCAAAGGAAUUGACGGGGACCCGCACAAGCGGUGGAGCAUGUGGUUUAAUUCGAAGCAACGCGAAGAACCUUACCAAAUCUUGACAUCCUUUGACAACUCUAGAGAUAGAGCCUUCCCCUUCGGGGGACAAAGUGACAGGUGGUGCAUGGUUGUCGUCAGCUCGUGUCGUGAGAUGUUGGGUUAAGUCCCGCAACGAGCGCAACCCUUAAGCUUAGUUGCCAUCAUUAAGUUGGGCACUCUAAGUUGACUGCCGGUGACAAACCGGAGGAUGGUGGGGAUGACGUCAAAUCAUCAUGCCCCUUAUGAUUUGGGCUACACACGUGCUACAAUGGACAAUACAAAGGGCAGCGAAACCGCGAGGUCAAGCAAAUCCCAUAAAGUUGUUCUCAGUUCGGAUUGUAGUCUGCAACUCGACUACAUGAAGCUGGAAUCGCUAGUAAUCGUAGAUCAGCAUGCUACGGUGAAUACGUUCCCGGGUCU